UACGGGGGGGGGCAAGCGUUGUUCGGAAUUACUGGGCGUAAAGGGCUCGUAGGUGGCCAACUAAGUCAGACGUGAAAUCCCUCGGCUUAACCGGGGAACUGCGUCUGAUACUGGAUGGCUUGAGUUCGGGAGAGGGAUGCGGAAUUCCAGGUGUAGCGGUGAAAUGCGCAGAUAUCAGGAGGAACACCGGUGGCGAAGGCGGAUCUCUGGGCCGAUACUGACGCUGAGGAGCGAAAGCGUGGGGAGCAAACGGG
rnacentral:rRNA from 1 species